UGGCCCAUUACUUCGGCCACAAAGAUAACCACAGGUCUUUGUUUUAUGAAGGAUCCCGGGCUCACCUGAUUGGACAAAGUACGAGACCCAAGUCACAGGGGAGCCACCGACCCAGGACCUCACCAGGGAAGGCUAAUGAACCUGAAGGCGGAAAUUUCCUUUCUCGAGACUCUGAUUUUGGAAAUACCAAGAAAAUGAAGAUGACAACAUCAGUGCCAGACUCCUGAGGGGGCAGAUGAUGAAGUUAGGAAAUUAUAUUGGCAGUAGAAAGGAAGAAUAGCUGAUCAGUAAUAUCUGCAGAGCUGUGAGAGGUAACGUCCAUCUGUGGACAUCCACGAAAGGGUACGGUCAAUAAACCUUAGGAGUGAUCUCUGGUUUUGAAGUCCACUCUGAUUUUUCACUUCCUCUCUUCCCAUCCACCACUGCCUGCAGUGGCAUUCUCAGAAAAGCCACUGGGAAAAGAUGGCUGAUCCAGUGGUGGCUUCAUUUGACCGUGCCUUUAAGGAAACACAUCAAAACAAGAACACAAUAACUGCAUGAUGCGUGCUAUGAUUCUUGGUCAGUUGAAAAAAUAAAAAUAAAAAAUUUGUGAAAUA